CAGCCGCCGCGGUAACACGAAGGGGGCUAGCGUUGUUCGGAUUUACUGGGCGUAAAGCGCACGUAGGCGGACUUUUAAGUCAGGGGUGAAAUCCCGGGGCUCAACCCCAGAACUGCCUUUGAUACUGGAAGUCUUGAGUAUGGUAGAGGUGAGUGGAAUUCCGAGUGUAGAGGUGAAAUUUGUAGAUAUUCGGAGGAACACCAGUGGCGAAGGCGGCUCACUGGACCAUUACUGACGCUGAGGUGCGAAAGCGUGGGGAGCAAACAGGAUUAGAUACCCGCGUAGUCCCUGUCUCUUAUAC
rnacentral:rRNA from 1 species